GACGAAGGAUGCAAGCGUUAUCCGGAUUCAUUGGGUUUAAAGGGAGCGUAGGUGGUCUUAUAAGUCAGUGGUGAAAUCUCUGGGCUUAACCCAGAAAUUGCCAUUGAUACUGUAGGACUUGAGUAUAGUCGCCGUUGGCGGAAUAUGACAUGUAGUGGUGAAAUACAUAGAGAUGUCAUAGAACACCGAUUGCGAAGGCAGCUAACGAAACUAUAACUGACACUGAGGCUCGAAAGUGUGGGGAUCAAACAGG
rnacentral:rRNA from 1 species